GACGAACGCUGGCGGCGUGCUUAACACAUGCAAGUCGAACGGAAAGGCCUGCUUUCCCUUGUGGAUUGCGGGUACUCGAGUGGCGAACGGGUGAGUAACACGUGAGUGAUCUGCCCCCAACUUGGGUAUAAGCCUGGGAAACUGGGUCUAAUUCCCGAUAGGACUGCAGGGUGGUGCCUGUGGUGGAAAACGAUUUUCUAGUGGUUGGGGAUGAGCUCGCGGCCUAUCAGCUUGUUGGUGGGGUAAUGGCCUACCAAGGCGGCGACGGGUAGCCGGCCUGGGGGGGUGGACGGCCACAUUGGGACUGAGAUACGGCCCAGACUCCUCCGGGAGGCAGCAGUGGGGAAUAUUGCACAAUGGGCGGAAGCCUGAUGCAGCGACGCCGCGUGGGGGAUGACGGCCUUCGGGUUGUAAACUCCUUUCGACCGCGAGGAAGCCACCUGGUUGGAAGGGUGGUGACGGUAGUGGUAGAAGAAGCACCGGCUAACUACGU
rnacentral:rRNA from 1 species